UCAAAAGUACCCAUGAGGGAAAGAUGGAAAGGACUUUGAAAAGAGAGUGAAAAGCACUUGAAACCGUCACGGGGGAAGCGGAUUGCGUGAGUGGUGGUACGGCUUGUUCAGCGCCCUCGCGGCGUGUAUUCUGGCAGUACCUUGUUGUUGUGGCUGGCUGGCGCGUGACUUUGGCGCGCUCGGCUGGUGAGGGCUCCCCUCGCGGGUGAGGACAACAACAAAAUCACGCGAUACGACCCGUCUUGAAACACGGACCAAGGAGUCUAGCACGGCUGCGAGUCGAAGAGUGUAUAAAACUCAAGGGCGCAGUGAAAGCGAAUGGAUAAGCAAAUUGGGGAGGCGUUGCGUUUUUAACAAAAUGUCCUACCUCGAGCACCUGUGCUGGGACCCGAAAGAUGGUGAACUAUGCCGGAGUAGGGCAAAGCCAGAGGAAACUCUGGUGGAGGCUCGUAGCGAUGCUGACGUGCAAAUCGCUCGUCGAACUUGGGUAUAGGGCGAAAGACUAAUCGAACCAUCUAGUAGCUGGUUCCCUC
rnacentral:rRNA from 1 species